AUAUUGGACAAUGGGGGCAACGCUGAUCCAGCCAUGCCGCGUGUGUGAAGAAGGUCUUCGGAUUGUAAAGCACUUUACGUUGGGAGGAAGGGCUUUAGGUUAAUACCCUGAAGUUUUGACGUUACCAUCAGAGUAAGCACCGGCGAACUCUGUGCCAGCAGCCGCGGUAAUACAGAGGUUGCAAGCGUUAAUCGGAAUUACUGGGCGUAAAGCGCGCGUAGGUGGUUCAGUAAGAUGGGUGUGAAAUCCCCGUGCUUAACCUGGGAACUGCUUUCAUAACUGCUGAGCUAGAGUACGGUAGAGGGUAGUGGAAUUUCCUGUGUAGCGGUGAAAUGCUUAGAUAUAGGAAGGAACACCAGUGGCGAAGGCGACUACCUGGACUGAUACUGACACUGAGGUGCGAAAGCGUGGGGAGCAAACA
rnacentral:rRNA from 1 species